rnacentral:tRNA from 1 species
GCCGAGAUGGUGAAAUUUUGGAAGACACGUGAGACUCAAAAUCUCAUAUCACAGAAAAGUGAUGUGCGGGUUCAAGUCCCGCUCUCGGCA